UUGAGUUUAGGUAGCGUGUGCUAAGGGAAUAGAUACUGUUUUCAAAACUUGGGAAUGAUUUAUCAUUAAUGGGGCUCUUUCUUUUAAAAGGGCAGACAUUAUUUUUAUUUCUUUUAUUUUUUCUUUUUAAUUGCCAUAAUUUCUCAAGAGUCCAAAUCCCUAAUUUUCCUCCCUCAUAUUCAGUUUUACCCAAAUUUCUUGCAAGCUUGUCUGCUAGUUCCAGUCCAAGCUUUAGACUUCUAAAUUUGUCUUCCACAAAUUUUCUAAUGGAGUGAUAAUAGCUAGAACAGUACUUUGUCCAUCUAUGUUGAGUCUGAUUUUUGGACCUGGCUUCAGCAUUCAGGAAGUCAUAAUACAAUGUUAUGACAUCGUGUGUGACAUUGUAUGCAAUCAGUAAUAGGUUCAUCCAACCCAAUUGAGCCCUACUGCUAUCAUCUUCUGUACCUUUCACAGGUGUCAUCNUUCUUGCUAGGUAGGGUUUUACCUAGAGAGCAAAGCCCUUCAGCAGCCACCUCCUUUUCUGAUCUAGAUGAAUCAUCAUCUUUAUCUGCAUGGGGUUCUCCCUCAGGGGAGGGUUCCCUUCUGGACAAAGGGGUAGAAACUCCUUCAAGUUUAUGUCCUUCACUCAGAAUUCUCGUAACCAGUCUCCUUAUAGCACGAUCGGUGUAGUACAUGUCUUUAGGAAGAGAGGAGUUACCAGAGGUAUUACCUUGCUUAUCUCCAACCUUGGAGGAAGUACCAGUGGUGUCACCCGGUAUCAUGCACAGAGGAGUGACGUCCAUUAUGUCUUCAUCUACAAACUCCAUAGAUGGAGUCUUUGCAUGUUGGGAGGAUUUGGUACCAGAUGAUGAUGGAUGUUGAGACAUGUUGUAGGACUUUUGAGGAAGGUUUCUUUGCCCUAGCUGAGCUUUUCUUAGAAAUUGAAUGGAAAUGGCAGUUGUUGAGUUUAGGUAGCGUGUGCUAAGGGAAUAGAUACUGUUUUCAAAACUUGGGAAUGAUUUAUCAUUAAUGGGGCUCUUUCUUUUAAAAGGGCAGACAUUAUUUUUAUUUCUUUUAUUUUUUCUUUUUAAUUGCCAUAAUUUCUCAAGAGUCCAAAUCCCUAAUUUUCCUCCCUCAUAUUCAGUUUUACCCAAAUUUCUUGCAAGCUUGUCUGCUAGUUCCAGUCCAAGCUUUAGACUUCUAAAUUUGUCUUCCACAAAUUUUCUAAUGGAGUGAUAAUAGCUAGAACAGUACUUUGUCCAUCUAUGUUGAGUCUGAUUUUUGGACCUGGCUUCAGCAUUCAGGAAGUCA
rnacentral:lncRNA from 1 species